AAUUAAAUAUUCAAUGGUGAGGUAAACAUGUUAAAGUCAACAACAAGAGGUAACAUUUUGGUUGUACAAUAAAAGCUGGAAAACAAAGGUUGGUAAAUUGAUUGGAUUGUUAAAGAUUUAUAAAGCAGUUGCAAGUGUAAACCCAAUUUACAAUGAAAGUUUGUCAUUUUUCACUGUUGGUUGACGGUUUGGUGUUCAUUUAUUGAUUGUGGUUUCAUGUGUUGCUGGUUUUUCAUGUAUAUAAAUGGUGCUGGUUAAACUAAACAUGAUUAACCAACAAGUAAAAUUAAUUUUGAUCAAGGCAGGGAGAAACAAGUGAGAGCAAGUGAGAGUGAGAUGGGAAAAAAAGCUGAAAGUGAAACACACAAAAUGGGAAAAAAACUGCAAGUACAAACCAGGUCAAGUAUAAAACACAAACAUACAAAUGUUAACUUUCUCAUGAUGAUUUUUACUCGCACUUUUACUUAUUCCUAUUAUCAACAUUAUUAUUAUCAUCAUUAAUAUUAACAUUAUUGUUAUUAACAAUUGUUUGCAAUUUAAUUUUUGAAACGUGCAAAAGACGUCAAGCAAGGAAACGAAACAAAAGGCUGAAAAGAUUCACAUCAUCAUCACUUUUAUUGUGCGUUUCAUCAUGUUGUUUUAACUCUUGAGCUACUAAUUGAUAUCAUCAUCAUCAAUGAUAGACAAUUGUCGACCUUGCUUAAUAAACAUUUUUUUGUCUUAA